UGUGGUCCAAUGAUGGCAGUAAUAAUCUUUGAGACCUGAGACCCUGCGCUCGCGCGGGCCCAAUGGUGACAACCUGCAUUACGCUGAGGACUGCA
rnacentral:snoRNA from 1 species